rnacentral:rRNA from 1 species
UACAGAGGUCUCAAGCGUUGUUCGGAUUCAUUGGGCGUAAAGGGUGCGUAGGUGGCGCCGUAAGUCAGGUGUGAAAUUUCGGAGCUUAACUCCGAAACUGCAUUUGAUACUGCGGUGCUUGAGGACUGGAGAGGAGACUGGAAUUUACGGUGUAGCAGUGAAAUGCGUAGAGAUCGUAAGGAAGACCAGUGGCGAAGGCGGGUCUCUGGACAGUUCCUGACACUGAGGCACGAAGGCCAGGGGAGCAAACGGGAUUAGAACCUAC